rnacentral:rRNA from 1 species
GACGGGGGAUGCGAGCGUUAUCCGGAAUGAUUGGGCGUAAAGGGUCCGCAGGUGGCCCGGUCAGUCCGCUGUCAAAGCCUGGGGCUCAACCCUGGAGAGGCGGCGGAGACCACCGGGCUUGAGUCCGGUAGGGGCAGAGGGAAUUCCCGGUGGAGCGGUGAAAUGCGUAGAGAUCGGGAGGAACACCGGUGGCGAAGGCGGUUCUCUGGGCCUGUACUGACGCUGAGGAGCGAAAGCGUGGGGAGCGAACAGG